rnacentral:rRNA from 1 species
UACGGAGGAUGCAAGCGUUAUCCGGAAUGAUUGGGCGUAAAGCGUCCGCAGGUGGCUAUGUAAGUCUGCUGUUAAAGAGUGAGGCUCAACCUCAUAAAAGCAGUGGAAACUACAUGGCUAGAGUGCGUUCGGGGCAGAGGGAAUUCCUGGUGUAGCGGUGAAAUGCGUAGAGAUCGGGAAGAACACCGGUGGCGAAAGCGCUCUGCUAGGCCGCAACUGACACUGAGGGACGAAAGCUAGGGGAGCGAAUGGG